rnacentral:tRNA from 1 species
GGCGCUAUAGUGUAGUGGUUAUCACUUGGGAUUCUGAGUAAUAUUCCCAAAACCCAGGUUCGAGCCCUGGUAGCGCCU